rnacentral:lncRNA from 1 species
GCAAACUUCGUUUUUUAAAAACAUGAUAUCUAAAAAGCAGAAUGUGCAGAGUCUUUUCUUUGCCAAGCAAAACAGUUUCCACCACAUGUGUGCUGACUUGCAGUAUGUUCCCAGCAGGAUAGACAAUUCCUGGCCAAGAAAACAAAAAUAGAUGCCAGAAUGAUCUAAUCUAAUCUAAUUUCCCUUGGCCACAUGAACAUGAAUGAAUGACGGACUCACCAUUGAAGCUUCUCCUUAUUUUGGGUUCUGCAGAGGGCAAAUUCAAUUUGGCUUUUCUCAGUACUGGACAAAGAAAACUGAUAUUUACUAUAAAGAAAAUCCCAGCCUUCUGUGCUCUGGGCCCCCACAGCAAACACUGCCAAGGUCACGUCGACAGGCAGGCUAUAGAAAGGAACACACUCGGUGAGAAUCUGAGAUGCAGUAAGUAUGUUUAGAGGCAUAAUGGUGACUAACUAUGAACUGCUGAACUUUCCCCAUGAUCAGAGAAGCAUGCCUGGAAAUAUAAACAAAAACUACUGAUUUCCUUC